rnacentral:rRNA from 1 species
GAUCAUGGCUCAGAGCGAACGCUGGCGGCAGGCCUAAUACAUGCAAGUCGAACGGCUCUUCGGAGCAGUGGCGGACGGGUGAGUAACGCGUGGGAACGUGCCCAAAGGUACGGAACAACUGAGGGAAACUUCAGCUAAUACCGUAUGUGCCCUUAGGGGGAAAGAUUUAUCGCCUUUGGAGCGGCCCGCGUUGGAUUAGCUAGUUGGUGGGGUAAAGGCCCACCAAGGCUACGAUCCAUAGCUGGUCUGAGAGGAUGAUCAGCCACACUGGGACUGAGACACGGCCCAGACUCCUACGGGAGGCAGCAGUAGGGAAUCUUGCGCAAUGGGCGAAAGCCUGACGCAGCCAUGCCGCGUGAAUGAUGAAGGUCUUAGGAUUGUAAAAUUCUUUCACCGGGGAAGAUAAUGACGGU